GACGAAUGCUGGCGGCGUGCUUAACACAUGCAAGUCGAACGGUGAAGGGGAGCUUGCUCCCUGGAUCAGUGGCGAACGGGUGAGUAACACGUGGGCAACCUGCCCCUCACUUCGGGAUAACCAUCCGAAAGGAUGGCUAAUACCGGAUACGAGGCCUGGAGGCAUCUCCGGGUUUGGAAAGUUUUUCGGUGAGGGAUGGGCCCGCGGCCUAUCAGCUUGUUGGUGAGGUAAUGGCUCACCAAGGCGAAGACGGGUAGCCGGCCUGAGAGGGCGACCGGCCACACUGGGACUCGGGAACGGCCCAGACGCCUACGGGCGGCAGCAGUGGGGAAUAUUGCACAAUGGGCGAAAGCCUGAUGCAGCGACGCCGCGUGAGGGAUGAAGGCCUUCGGGUUGUAAACCUCUUUCAGUGGGAGUCAUGAAGGCGCCCAGAAUAAGGAACUACUAACUACGUGCCAGCAGCCGCCGUAA
rnacentral:rRNA from 1 species